rnacentral:piRNA from 1 species
CCUCAAUCCUAUGCUGCUAACAGUCCCCUGC